GAUGAAAGCAGAGGGGCUUAUGAAAACGUCGUCAACAUGCAGGUUUUAUCAGCAGUAUUUCAGCGCAACGCAACGUCUUUCCGGCUCAUGGCUGGCCCGCCUGAACGGUAAAACGCCGCAACGAAUGCUGGAUGAGAUCAUGCAGUGGGAUGUGACAUUCCCGGUGACGUUUAAGCGCCGCUAAGCGGACAUCACGUGUAACUGAGUAUUGGUGCUUUUCACCUGCCAGCAGUGUGCUACUGCUGGCUUUUUUC
rfam:Cronobacter sakazakii ATCC BAA-894, complete genome.